rnacentral:misc_RNA from 1 species
CAGGUAGAUGAAGUGGCGUGAUCAGGGUAUGGAUUUGGGCUUCCCCAAAGAAAUUGUGGCCCAGAUAAUGUUUCCACAACAGAUCCAUUAGAUGUUGAAGGGCCACCAAAGGAUGACAUACUUCCAUGGUAUUGAUUCAACUUUGACUCGGGAACUGAAUGUGAUUGUUGGAAUGUCGCUCCGUGGGUUGAAUUCAUGCUUGUAAACGUAUGCUCCAUAAGACUACCCCUUCCUUGGUCCUUGCCAAUAGGUGCAACUUUCCCAGAGUUUGAUCCUUGAGAAUGAAGAAUUGACGCCAGCCCAGGUAAAUGGUUGCCAGUUGGGCUCAAAUUCCUGAAAACAGGGGAUUUGCUGAUACUUUGCAAUGGACUAUGUUCCAUGGGACUGUUGAACUGUGCCCAGUUACCUGGCGGAGAGUUGGUUACUGGAGACCCCACUGGGGGCCAGAAAUUCCGGGAUUCAUCUUGUUCAAGCUCUUGAUUAAGUUGCAACAUCAAGUUUCGCCGUGCACCACCAGGACGGCUAGGUUCAAGCUUUAUCCGUUUACCAGCUAUGUCACUUCUAUUCAGUGACUUAAGUGCCGCUUCAGCAGCUCUAACAUCAUAAAACUCAAUAAACUUGUGGUGCCUCUUAUGUGGUGUUUCCCUUAUCUCUUUGACUUCCCCAUAAGCCCCAAAUAUUUGUCGGAGGUCUUCAUUUGAGACUGAUGGAUCCAGAUUAAAAACGACCAGAGUUCCUUGAUUAAUAUCCUUGUCAGAUGGAUUGUCCUUUGGAAUUGAGUAGUGAAUAUCAAGUUUCCUCCGUCGUAGAGGUUUGUUUUGCAAUGCACGCAUAGCAGUUCG